ACGCUGGCGGCAGGCCUAACACAUGCAAGUCGAGCGGUAGAGAGAAGCUUGCUUCUCUUGAGAGCGGCGGACGGGUGAGUAAUGCCUAGGAAUCUGCCUGGUAGUGGGGGAUAACGUCCGGAAACGGACGCUAAUACCGCAUACGUCCUACGGGAGAAAGCAGGGGACCUUCGGGCCUUGCGCUAUCAGAUGAGCCUAGGUCGGAUUAGCUAGUUGGUGGGGUAAUGGCUCACCAAGGCGACGAUCCGUAACUGGUCUGAGAGGAUGAUCAGUCACACUGGAACUGAGACACGGUCCAGACUCUACGGGGGGCAGCAGUGGGGAAUAUUGGACAAUGGGCGAAAGCCUGAUCCAGCCAUGCCGCGUGUGUGAAGAAGGUCUUCGGAUUGUAAAGCACUUUAAGUUGGGAGGAAGGGCAGUAGAUUAAUACUUUGCUGUUUUGACGUUACCGACAGAAUAAGCACCGGCUAACUCUGUGCCAGCAGCCGCGGUAAUACAGAGGGUGCAAGCGUUAAUCGGAAUUACUGGGGGUAAAGCGCGCGUAGGUGGUUCGUUAAGUUGGAUGUGAAAUCCCCGGGCUCAACCUGGGAACUGCAUUCAAAACUGACGAGCUAGAGUAUGGUAGAGGGUGGUGGAAUUUCCUGUGUAGCGGUGAAAUGCGUAGAUAUAGGAAGGAACACCAGUGGCGAAGGCGACCACCUGGACUGAUACUGACACUGAGGUGCGAAAGCGUGGGGAGCAAAC
rnacentral:rRNA from 1 species